UAAAUAUUCCCACAACAUUGGGUCUUUACAAGCGUAGACACAAAUAGAGCUAUUAUUCAUGUCUGUUAUGGUGCUUUGAAAACUUGGGACGCUUGCGGAUUUGAACAUAACGAUUUGGACAUGUACACCCUAAUGUAGACUCAGGUGUCAACACAACGCUGUUGCUGAAAAAGCUUUCCGUCAGAAGUGUCUCUCACCAUGACAGAAUUAUCUUACUGGAGAUCACUGUCGCCACGGCCCCUCAAAAUCCAUUUGGAUAGAAGUCUAGACGAGAGGGCAAAACUCAUGACUCAACUUCAAAGGACGGCGAAUGGUGAAACAAACAAGCCCACAUCACAUCAUUCUCAAAGCUACACUCAAUGCGUCUCAACUUGUAAAAAGGAAGCACUGAGACCAGCAGAGCAUCUUUGUUUGCAACUCACUG